rnacentral:rRNA from 1 species
GACGAACGCUGGCGGCGUGCUUAACACAUGCAAGUCGAGCGGUAAGGCCCUUCGGGUACGACGAGCGGCGAACGGGUGAGUAACACGUGGGUAACCUGCCCUCAGCUCUGGGAUAAGCCCGGGAAACUGGGUCUAAUACCGGAUAUCACCUUGGGAGGCAUCUUCCGGGGUUGAAAGUUUUUGGCGGCUGAGGAUGGGCCCGCGGCCUAUCAGCUUGUUGGUGGGGUAGUGGCCUACCAAGGCGACGACGGGGUAGCCGGCCUGAGAGGGCGACCGGCCACACUGGGACUGAGACACGGCCCAGACUCCUACGGGAGGCAGCAGUGGGGAAUAUUGCACAAUGGGCGAAAGGCCUGAUGCAGCGACGCCGCGUGAGGGAUGACGGCCUCGGUUGUUAAC